rnacentral:rRNA from 1 species
CAGGCCUAACACAUGCAAGUCGAACGAAGGCUUCGGCCUUAGUGGCGCACGGGUGCGUAACGCGUGGGAAUCUGCCCUUGGGUUCGGAAUAACAGCGGGAAACUGCUGCUAAUACCGGAUGAUGACGUAAGUCCAAAGAUUUAUCGCCCAAGGAUGAGCCCGCGUAGGAUUAGCUAGUUGGUGGGGUAAAGGCCCACCAAGGCGACGAUCCUUAGCUGGUCUGAGAGGACGAUCAGCCACACUGGGACUGAGACACGGCCCAGACUCCUACGGGAGGCAGCAGUGGGGAAUAUUGGACAAUGGGCGAAAGCCUGAUCCAGCAAUGCCGCGUGAGUGAUGAAGGCCUUAGGGUUGUAAAGCUCUUUUGCCCGGGAUGAUAAUGACAGUACCGGGAGAAUAAGCUCCGGCUAACUCCGUGCCAGCAGCCGCGGUAAU